UUCAUAGAGUGUAAAGGCAUAAGGGAGCUUGACUGCGAGACCUACAAGUCGAGCAGGGUCGAAAGACGGACUUAGUGAUCCGGUGGUUCCGCAUGGAAGGGCCAUCGCUCAACGGAUAAAAGCUACCCCGGGGAUAACAGGCUUAUCUCCCCCAAGAGUUCACAUCGACGGGGAGGUUUGGCACCUCGAUGUCGGCUCAUCGCAUCCUGGGGCUGUAGUCGGUCCCAAGGGUUGGGCUGUUCGCCCAUUAAAGCGGUACGCGAGCUGGGUUCAGAACGUCGUGAGACAGUUCGGUCCCUAUCCGUCGUGGGCGUAGGAAAUUUGAGAGGAGCUGUCCUUAGUACGAGAGGACCGGGAUGGACAUACCUCUGGUGUACCAGUUGUCGUGCCAACGGCAUAGCUGGGUAGCUAUGUGUGGACGGGAUAAGUGCUGAAAGCAUCUAAGCAUGAAGCCCCCCUCAAGAUGAGAUUUCCCAACUUCGGUUAUAAGAUCCCUCAAAGAUGAUGAGGUUAAUAGGUUCGAGGUGGAAGCAUGGUGACAUGUGGAGCUGACGA
rnacentral:rRNA from 1 species